rnacentral:rRNA from 1 species
UACGUAGGGGCUAGCGUUGUCCGGAAUCAUUGGGCGUAAAGCGCGCGUAGGCGGUCAGGUAAGUCCGGUGUGAAAGUCAAAGGCUCAACCUUUGAAUGCCGCUGGAUACUGCCUGACUUGAGUCCGGAAGGGGCGAGUGGAAUUCCUGGUGUAGCGGUGAAAUGCGCAGAUAUCAGGAAGAACACCCGUGGCGAAGGCGGCUCUCUGGGACGGUACUGACGCUGAGACGCGAAAGCGUGGGGAGCGAACAGG